GGCACACUGUUCAAGGUGCUGAAAAUCAGACUCUUCUCAAGGAGCUCAUGAGCAAUCAAGGGAGAUGGAUGGGUGAGCCACUGAUUAUCAUGUGACAAGUGGGGUAAUAGAGAUAUGACUAAAAUGCUAUCCAAAGAAGAAGAAAGGAAUUAUUCAUAGUAUAUGGAGUGCUGGGGAAAGAGUUCUGAAAUGAAGCCGGCCGGGUGUGAUGGCUCACACUUCCACUACCUGACCUCAGGUGAUCCACCAGACUCGGGCUCCCCAAAGUGCUGGGAUUACAGGUGUGAGCCACCGCACCCAGCCCAAAAGCUUUGUGUUUUUACGGAUAUUAACCAUGUUUCCUGUUUAAAAAGAAAAAACAGCAACAAUGUAGGAGAAUAAGAGAAACAUUUUUCCAAAAAAGAAAUCAUUUUGAUUAUUUUAUCUCAUUGGAAUGUUGGAUAAUAUAGUCUGCUUCAUUAAUCAUCAAGCAUGCUGUGGAUUUCCCACUUUUAUAGGAUCUGUAUCUCAGUUCAGGUAAUACUGGUAAUUUUUAUACAGUAUUUGAAGAUGAAAAAUAUAGGCCAAAAUGACAGACCUUGCAUAGAAGCUGGUUAAUGAAGACAGCUCUGGAGGAACACAUGGAUACACACAGAGAGACACACACAUAUAUAUAAAGUAUACACACAUAUGAUUUUUAAAGUUUUAAGGGUUUUAAAGCAAAAGCCAGCCCCUCCACUCUCCCAGAGCGGGCGGCCCCUCCCCUCUCUCAGAGUGGGUGGGGACAGCGGUUGCAUGGGCAGCUUUCCUGAUGAGCCACAGGUCCCUCUGGACACACUGCCGCCUGGCCACGCCCCCUUUCCCUGUCAUCUUUCUCGUUGGCCAAUGGGCUUGAAGCAUUAAGGCCACGCCCCUAUUCUGCAUUCUACUGUGGCCCUGGUUACGCUGCCUCUGGGUCAGUUACGCAGCUGUCUUCCAGGUGACUGGAUGUGUUGAUCAGCGCUCGCUGGGAUUUGGCUGACGUGGCCCCAGCCCCGCCUCCCUCCCCACCCCACAAUGGCAGAAGAAACUGGACAGAGUAAAUUAGCUGCAGCCAAGAAAAAGUUCAAAGAAUAUUGGCAGAGAAACCGCCCUGGUGUUCCAGCAGCAGCGAAGAGGAACACGAAAGCAAAUGGCAGUAGCCCUGAGACGGCCGCUUCUGGUGGUUGCCACUCAUCUGAGGCUGUGAGUCUUGCCUGGACAGGCUUUUGGGGACAGGGGGCCCAAGGAGCAGUAGAGGGCAAUCGUUAAGAUUGUGGAUGGACUGUUGGGUACUGGUGAAGGAUUCUGGAUUUGGCCGGGCACAGUGGCUCACGCCUGUAAUCCCCACACUUCGGGAGACCGAGGCAGGUGGAUCACAAGGUCAGGAGAUCGAGACCAUCCAGGCAAACACGGUGAAAUAC
rnacentral:lncRNA from 1 species